GCUCUGUUUGCUAACCGUCCAGUCCCGCCUACCAGUGCCGGGCGCUCACCACCCCUCCCCCGGCUCCCCCAGUGUCUGCCAUGGCCGAAGCCUACGACCACCUCUUCAAGUUGCUGCUGAUCGGGGACUUGGGGGUGGGCAAGACUUGUCUGAUCAUUCGCUUUGCAGAAGACAACUUCAACAACACUUACAUCUCCACCAUUGGAAUUGAUUUCAAGAUCCGCACUGUGGAUAUAGAGGGGAAGAAGAUCAAACUACAAGUCUGGGACAUGGCUGACCAAGAGCGAUUCAAGACAAUAACUAAUGCCUACUACCGUGGAGCCAUGGGUAUUACCCUAGUACAGGACAUCAUGGAUGAGAAAUCUUCCGAGAAUAUUCAGAACUGGAUGAAAAGCAACAAGGAGAAUGGCUCGGCUGGGGUGGAACGCCUCUUGCUAGGGAACAAAUGUGACAUGGAGGCCAAGAGGAAGGUGCAGAAGGAGCAGGCCGAUAAGUUGGCUCCAGAGCAAGGAAUCUGAUUUUUCGAAACUAGUGCUAAAUCCAGUAUGAAUGUGGAUGAGGCUUUUAGCUCCCUGGCCCAGGACAUCUUGCUCAAGUCAGGAGGCCGGAGAUCAGGAAAUGGCAACAAGCCUCCCAGUACUGACCUGAAAACUUGCGACAAGAAGAACACCAACAAGUGCUCCCUGGGCUGAGGACCCUUUCUCGCCCCC